GUCGGGGUAUCCAAGCCUGGUAAGCUUGUUAAUGAUUAACAAGUCCGGAAUGGAGACAGGUUGCUAACCUGUUGCGUGCAAACGCUCGCGGGUUCAAAUCCCGUCCCCGGCACCA
rnacentral:tRNA from 1 species